rnacentral:rRNA from 1 species
AUGAACGCUGGCGGCGUGCUUAACACAUGCCAGUCGAACGGAAAGGCCCUGCUUUUGUGGGGUGCUCGAGUGGCGAACGGGUGAGUAACACGUGAGUAACCUGCCCUUGACUUUGGGAUAACUUCAGGAAACUGGGGCUAAUACCGGAUAGGAGCUCCUGCUGCAUGGUGGGGGUUGGAAAGUUUCGGCGGUUGGGGAUGGACUCGCGGCUUAUCAGCUUGUUGGUGGGGUAGUGGCUUACCAAGGCUUUGACGGGUAGCCGGCCUGAGAGGGUGACCGGCCACAUUGGGACUGAGAUACGGCCCAGACUCCUACGGGAGGCAGCAGUGGGGAAUAUUGCACAAUGGGCGGAAGCCUGAUGCAGCAACGCCGCGUGCGGGAUGACGGCCUUCGGGUUGUAAACCGCUUUCGCCUGUGACGAAGCGUGAGUGACGGUAAUGGGUAAAGAAGCACCGGCUAACUACGUG